AAGUUUAAAAUUUUAUUUUGAGAAGGAGGGAGUAGUAAACAGGCAAAGCAAGUUAACAACCGCCCGUCAAUGGCCGGCGGCGACCAAGCAGCGGCCAAACCCCCAACAACCUUGACCUCCGCCCCACUGCCGCCGUUCGCCGCGGCUCGGUGCUCGCCGGCGGUGAUGGCGGCUUGGCCCAGCCCGUGGCUGCCUCUCCUCCUCGUCGGCGCCCUGCUCGCCUUCGAGGACUGGCUCGCCACGCCCACCUGCUCCGGCGGCUCGACCGCCCCCGCCCCCGCCCCCGCCCCCGCCCCCGGCGACCUGAGGGUCAUGAUGGUUUCCGACCUGAUGCUGCUCGGGUCGGACGCCACCUACGCCGACCGCUUCUUCCGGAACCACGUCAUGUCCAAGCUCUUCGCCAAAUCUAUUGAAACACUUAGGCCAGAUAUGAUUGUAGUCCUUGGGGACAUCUCGGCAAUGGGUUUUCAGCUGAAGGAAAGCAAAUGGAUAGACGUUAUUGACCAAUUCAAAGGGAUAUUGGGGCAAUACUCUGACCUUCCUCUUCAUAUUGCCUUAGGCGAUAAAGAUGUAGGAGGAUGUGCCAACUUGGAUGACAGUUUUGUCCACCAUAUGGCUAAGCAUUUACCAGGAUUGGAUUCAAGUGGUUGCGGUACUUUUGAAAUUGGUAAUGUCAGUUUUGUGUCACUUAAUUCAGUUGCGCUGCUCUGUGGAAACAAUCCCCUGCGGAUCAGCGUUGAGAAGGUUAUAGAGAAGGAAAACAACCAUUUUCAACAGAAAAUGGUGAAUGAAGCAGGACAUUUUUCUUUGGGGAGUAUAGAAAGAGAGGGUUUUAAUUGGAGGCAAAACAGCAUGGAAUCAGGGUCAGGCCCUGUAGUUUUGCUCCACUUUCCACUAUAUAAGUUUUCAGAGGGAACUAUUUCAGAACCUCCGGUCUCCUCAAGUUUGAAAGAAAGAGGAGCUGAUGGCAGGAGGUCUGAUCAACUACAUGCCCUCCCUGCAAAUUCAACUCAAUAUGUUCUUCAAGCGCUUAAACCAAGGAUUGUAUUUAGUGCCCAUGAUUGCAGUUUCUCAGAUUAUACUCACUAUGAUGGGACACGGGAGGUAGCAGUGCCAGCUAUGACAUGGAAAACCACAGGAGUGCCUGGCUUUGUCAUUUCUACAUUUGGAAGGAAAGGAAUCAUGACUGUGAGGUAUUGUUUGAUAGUUCCAGAAUGGUAUGUGAUGGCAGGAUAUUCAGUAUUCUUGUUCCUAACAGCUCUGUCUGUAAGAUUGUCACAUUGGAUGUGAAAUGAAAUAUCAAAUCUUAUUUUCAAGGCCACUCCAAGUUCACCGUUAAAAAACUGAGAAGAUAAAGUUUAUCUCAAGCUCUUUUCUGACAAUGAACUGAGAUCCUUGAUCUGUGUCAUGCUAGUGACUGCUUUACACAAGUCGAGGACAGGAACUUCAGAAUCUUGCCAGGGCUAGUUGUGCUAUAAGAUCUUGAUUUCAAGCUCCCAGCUCAAUCUGGGAGACCAGCCAUAGGUGACUACCAUCAGCUAUCCAGCUGUGGAAAGUACUGCUUGCUGGCCCAGAGAAACCCCUACACUAAAGGAGGUCACAACACUGUUGGUACGGGUACUAAGAAGACAGCCUUCUUGCUCUUGCUGCAUAUGAACUCUGGAACUGUGAGAUGCUUGGGUUGACUCUGCCCUGCUGCUUUCCUGGGCAGCAAGGCAGCCUCUCCACCUAUUCUGCUUCUGAUAAACUUUAGUUCCUUUGACACAUUUGCAUGAACAUACGAUGCCAUUUGGAUGCCCAUCUCCAAUGUAGGUCUGAUGCGUUGUCAACAACUCAGGCAUUGCAUUGAGUUACAGGUGAACAUAGCCCAGCCCAUAUGGUGUGUUUGGUAACUUUGGAAUAUAUGCACCAAGUGAAUUAGAAACAUGGGAAUAUUUCAAUCAUACAUCGCAGAUCAAAACAAGGAGAAAACUUGAGGUCUUACCUCAGGUUGGUUUUAUCUCUAAAAUUGCCUAGAUGUAGAAUUUGUGAGGGCUAGAUGUUUUUUUCUCUAUAAUCAGUUGAAGGUUUUGGAGGUUUGCUUCAUGUCCUUUCUUUUGUUUUUUAUGCAUUAUGUGCGUGUUGCAUUUGUCAUGUGCAUCCUUGAUACAGACACCUUCCAUUAUCUAACAAGCAACAGGCCUUAGAUGACAGGCUCUAUGUGGAAA